CCUACGGGUGGCUGCAGUGGGGAAUAUUGGACAAUGGGGGCAACCCUGAUCCAGCCAUGCCGCGUGUGUGAAGAAGGCCCUCGGGUUGUAAAGCACUUUCAGUGAGGAAGAACGCCUGGUGGUUAAUACCCAUCAGGAAAGACAUCACUCACAGAAGAAGCACCGGCUAACUCCGUGCCAGCAGCCGCGGUAAUACGGAGGGUGCGAGCGUUAAUCGGAAUUACUGGGCGUAAAGCGCGCGUAGGUGGCUUGAUAAGCCGGUUGUGAAAGCCCCGGGCUCAACCUGGGAACGGCAUCCGGAACUGUCAAGCUAGAGUGCAGGAGAGGAAGGUAGAAUUCCCGGUGGAGCGGUGAAAUGCGUAGAGAUCGGGAGGAAUACCAGUGGCGAAGGCGGCCUUCUGGACUGACACUGACACUGAGGUGCGAAAGCGUGGGUAGCAAACAGGAUUAGAUACCCGAGUAGUC
rnacentral:rRNA from 1 species